AGAGAGAGUAAAUAAUAGUUGGAAAGUGCGUAGACGCGUCGUUGCCGGCAACGCUCCUUAUAUCUAGCCGAUACCACAGGUAAAUUAUUUCUGCCAGACAUAUUCUUCUUUCAUCGAUUCUUGUUAAUUAAUACAUUUUGUCACUAAAUAAAUUUAAUCAUUUGGGUUUUUCAAAGGGAAAACCCGUUUUACUUCAACGCCGUCUCCGUCUCCGUCGCCGUCGCCGUCACCGUCGCCGUCAACGGCCAGGAUCGUUUGGUGGGAGGCCUUCUUUCGCUUCUGUUUUCCUUCUUCCGAAACUUGUCUUGUGACAGACAAAGAAAGCAAUUCUUGGAAGAAAGGAAAAAAAAAAUAUGCCUCUCGACAAUGUAAUAACUUCACCUCACCGGAGGUCGCAAACACAGACGGCGUUUUCUCAGGGGACCCCAAAGAAACGGGACCCACGAGGUGGCGAAGAAUUGGGCAGCUUUACGACACUUAUACAGAGGCAUCGAUUUCUUCUGGUCGCACUUGUACUACUCACUUUUCUUUGCACCGUUUAUCUCUACUUUGCGGUGACACUUGGCACAAGCGAUGAAUGUUCCGGAUUGAUUGGGGCUCGAAGGGCCACCUGUAAUUUGAAACUGGUUAAAGAUUCUGUGGCGGGUAAGGGGAAAUUGAAAUUCUUUUAAGUAGAGAAUAUAUUUUGGUUCGAUUAAUUUUCCACAGGCUCGUUCAUCGUUGAUUUUCGGUGUAUAUGCACAGAAGUAAUUGUUUUGAGGAGAGUGUGUGUGUAUGGCAGCAGUGAAAAAAAUUAACUUGUAUGAAAUAUGAAUUUCGGAUUUUUUUUUUCUUUAUUUAUUUAUGCAAUUUUUACAUUGUUGGAGGUUGUA